rnacentral:rRNA from 1 species
CGCGUAGGUGGUUUGUUAAGUUGGAUGUGAAAGCCCCGGGCUCAACCUGGGAACUGCAUCCAAAACUGGCAAGCUAGAGUACGGUAGAAGGUGGUGGAAUUUCCUGUGUAGCGGUGAAAUGCGUAGAUAUAGGAAGGAACACCAGUGGCGAAGGCGACCACCUGGACUGAUACUGACACUGAGGUGCGAAAGCGUGGGGAGCAAACA